rnacentral:rRNA from 1 species
GACGAACGCUGGCGGCGUGCUUAACACAUGCAAGUCGAACGGAAAGGCCCUGCUUUUGUGGUGUGCCCGAGUGGCGAACGGGUGAGUAACACGUGAGUAACCUGCCCUUGACUUUGGGAUAACUUCACGUAACUGGGGCUAAUCCCGGAUAGGAUCUCCUGCUGCAUGGUGGGCGUUGGAAAUUUUCGGCGUUUGCGGAUGGAGUCGCGGCUUAUCAGCUUGUUGGUGGGGUAGUGGCUUACCCACGCUUUGACGGGUAGCCGGCCUGGGAGGGUGACCGGCCACAGUGGGACAGAGAUGGGGGCCAGGGGGCUAAGGGAAGAAGGAGUGGGGAAUAGAGCAAAAUGGGCGGAGGGCGGAUGGAGGAACGCCGCGUGGGGGAUGACGGCCUUCGGGAAGUAAACGGAGUUCGCCUGUGACGAAGUGUGAGUGAGGGAAAUGAGGAAAGAAGAACCGGCAAAUUAGGG